CCUGGCUCAGAUUGAACGCUGGCGGCAUGCUUUACACAUGCAAGUCGAACGGCAGCACGAAAGAGCUUGCUCUUUUGGUGGCGAGUGGCGAACGGGUGAGUAAUACAUUGGAACGUACCGAGUAAUGGGGGAUAACUGUCCGAAAGGAUGGCUAAUACCGCAUACGCUCUGAGGAGGAAAGCGGGGGACCUUCGGGCCUCGCGUUAUUCGAGCGGCCAAUGUCUGAUUAGCUAGUUGGUGGGGUAAAGGCCUACCAAGGCGACGAUCAGUAGUGGGUCUGAGAGGAUGAUCCGCCACACUGGGACUGAGACACGGCCCAGACUCCUACGGGAGGCAGCAGUGGGGAAUUUUGGACAAUGGGCGAAAGCCUGAUCCAGCCAUGCCGCGUGUCUGAAGAAGGCCUUCGGGUUGUAAAGGACUUUUGUCAGGGAAGAAAGGGUUUGGGUUAAUACCCUAAGCUUAUGAC
rnacentral:rRNA from 1 species